AGAGUUUGAUCCUGGCUCAGGACGAACGCUGGCGGCGUGCCUAAUGCAUGCAAGUCGAGCGACGAAUAGGUGCGGGUAACCAAACCUAUUACGGAGCGGCGAACGGGUGAGUAACACGUGAGCAACCUGCCCCGAAGACCGGGAUAGCCCAGGGGAAACUUGGAUUAAUACCGGAUAUCCUCUUUUGAUCGCAUGGUCGUUUGAGGAAAUGCUUUUACGCUUCGGGAUGGGCUCGCGGCCUAUCAGCUUGUUGGUGGGGUAACGGCCUACCAAGGCGUCGACGGGUAGCUGGUCUGAGAGGACGAUCAGCCACACUGGGACUGAGGACGCGGCCCAGACUCCUGACGGGAGGCAGCAGCACGGAAUUGUUGCGCAAUGGGCGAAAGCCUGACGCAGCAACGCCGCGUGGGGGAUGAACGCCUGACGGGUGGUAAACCCCUUUUAGGAGGGACGACAUAGACUGUACCUCCAGAAAAAGCCCCUGCCAACUACGUGCCAGCAGCCGCGGUAAUACGUACGGAGCGAGCGUUGUCCGGAAUCAUAAGGGCGUAAAGAGCUCGUCGGCGGAUUAGUAGUCGGCAGUGAAAACCGAUGCUCAACCUCGGCACUGCCGUCGAUACUGCUAUGGCUAGAGUGUGGUACACGAGAACGGAAUCCCUGGUGUANCCGUGGAAUGCUCAGAUAUCCCGACGAACUCCCGUAGCGAAGCGGGUCUCUGGGCNAUCUGACGCGUANGUCCGAAGCCUGAGAGCAACAGGUCGAUCCGGGUAUUCAUGCGAUGCCGCCCUGGCGUCGUACUAUGAUCCAACCCGUA
rnacentral:rRNA from 1 species